CGGUACCUAACCAGAAAGCCACGGCUAACUACGUGCCAGCAGCCGCGGUAAUACGUAGGUGGCAAGCGUUGUCCGGAAUUAUUGGGCGUAAAGGGCUCGCAGGCGGUUUCUUAAGUCUGAUGUGAAAGCCCCCGGCUCAACCGGGGAGGGUCAUUGGAAACUGGGGAACUUGAGUGCAGAAGAGGAGAGUGGAAUUCCACGUGUAGCGGUGAAAUGCGUAGAGAUGUGGAGGAACACCAGUGGCGAAGGCGACUCUCUGGUCUGUAACUGACGCUGAGGAGCGAAAGCGUGGGGAGCGAACAGGAUUAGAUACCCUGGUAGUCCACGCCGUAAACGAUGAGUGCUAAGUGUUAGGGGGUUUCCGCCCCUUAGUGCUGCAGCUAACGCAUUAAGCACUCCGCCUGGGGAGUACGGUCGCAAGACUGAAACUCAAAGGAAUUGACGGGGGCCCGCACAAGCGGUGGAGCAUGUGGUUUAAUUCGAAGCAACGCGAAGAACCUUACCAGGUCUUGACAUCCUCUGACAAUCCUAGAGAUAGGA
rnacentral:rRNA from 2 species